rnacentral:tRNA from 1 species
AAGGAUUUAAGUUAAAAACAAACUAACAGCCUUCAAAGCUGUAAAUAGACCAUUAUCUAAGCCUUG